rnacentral:misc_RNA from 1 species
CAGGGUCUAACGACUGCCCAAAACCAACCGUGCUCCUUUCCUUUUAUCUUGCUUCGGUGAUCGCCUGCUGGGGAGGCCACCGGCCGGGCGUCUUGCCUGGUGGUUGCCGGAGCAUACCAACCAAAACUUUACUUAGUAACUAUCUUCUGAGAACUUUCUAUAUGAAAAAUCA